CCUACGAGAGGCAGCAGUGAGGAAUAUUGGUCAAUGGACGCAAGUCUGAACCAGCCAUGCCGCGUGCAGGAAGACUGCUCUAUGAGUUGUAAACUGCUUUUGUACGAGGGUAAACGCAAAUACGCGUAUCUGUCUGAAAGUAUCGUACGAAUAAGGAUCGGCUAACUCCGUGCCAGCAGCCGCGGUAAUACGGAGGAUUCAAGCGUUAUCCGGAUUUAUUGGGUUUAAAGGGUGCGUAGGCGGUCGGAUAAGUUAGAGGUGAAAUCCCGAGGCUCAACUUCGGAAUUGCCUCUGAUACUGUUCGGCUAGAGAGUAGUUGAGGUAGGCGGAAUGUAUGGUGUAGCGGUGAAAUGCUUAGAGAUCAUACAGAACACCGAUUGCGAAGGCAGCUUACCAAGCUACUUCUGACGUUGAGGCACGAAAGUGUGGGGAGCAAACAGGAUUAGAUACCCUUGUAGUC
rnacentral:rRNA from 1 species